CGAGGCAAACGUCGUUUCCAGCGCAUUCUCUCUCCUAUAAAUUCGAUCUCCUUUCCAUAGUUUGGGCACUCUGUUUUUCACCAGCUGUUUUUGGUUUCUUUUUGUAGAGUUUUUGCAUUCAAUACUAAGGAAUAAAAAUGUGUUAUGCAGUUAAGUGUAGUGGGUGUGGAAAGAAUACAUGGGCAGGCUGUGGAAAGCACGUUCUGUCUGUUUAUAAUAAGCUGCCUCAAGGGGAUCGCUGUUUCUGCAAAGCAUGGCCUGGGGUUAAGCUAGCAGAAGCAACCAGUGUGGAUUCCCUGAAAACUCAAGCUGAUCAGAAAGCAACCUCUACAAGCUAAAUCAGAGCGAGUUGAUUAUCGUCUUAGAUUGGAAGGCAUAUGGGAGAUGGACGAUAAUCUAAACAAGCUUUGCUAUGUAUAUCCAUUUUGUGUUCGUCUGGCCCACAAUAGAUAUCGUAUGGGAAUAGUUUUAUAGAUUUAGCUUGUAUUAUAGAAGAUUAUAAUCCUCAGACUAGUUGAGAUGAUAUUUGUAGGGGAUGGGUAAUUUGUUAUUGUCAAUUCCUGGUUAUAUAUAGUUUGGUAAGCUAUGUAAUAGAAAAGAGGUGGACAAUCGUCCACCUUUCAUUUGCUGAGUUAGAUUAAUGAAAUUAAGGAGUGUUAUGAAUGUAUUAAGAACUGUUUCAAAUAAUUUGGAUCUAUAAAGGUUUUCA